UCCAAAUGGUCAUAUUCUUCUUAUUGGCUUGUUUUAAAACAGAAGUUGUUGACUAACGUGGAGCGUGUUAAGAGAGAAAUAGGAUAUGAUAGCUCUUUUGGUAUAUGUGAUCAUCAUUUGGAAGAUAUUCCACGUUAUCAAAGAUUGUCGGCUAAAGUAAUAUGGAUGCAAGCUCUUCCAAAUGAAAUAAAUGGGAGCUUCUUUGCAGGAGACUUUCUCCCGUAGUUAAAGGUUAAUUUGUAGAGUCCUGCCAGAUUAGUUGACAAUGAGACGUAUAUAGCAGAUAGUUGGAUCAAUCUUUACAUCGAUAGAACAAUUCAAAUUGCUUCUGAGGAUGCUGCAGCAAGGGGAGUCAUGAGAAAUGGAAAUGGAGAGUGGAUUAUGGGUAACGACAAGUGUUGAUUUUCAUUUAUGUAUAAAUAUACAUAUACGUAUACAUAUGGUGACGUGAUUCAAUUCAUGCAAUUUAUUUAAAGCAAAUUUAAGCCAAAA